GCUUUCGCACCUGAGCGUCAGUCUUUGUCCAGGGGGCCGCCUUCGCCACCGGUAUUCCUCCAGAUCUCUACGCAUUUCACCGCUACACCUGGAAUUCUACCCCCCUCUACAAGACUCAAGCUUGCCAGUUUCAAAUGCAGUUCCCAGGUUGAGCCCGGGGAUUUCACAUCUGACUUAACAAACCGCCUGCGUGCGCUUUACGCCCAGUAAUUCCGAUUAACGCUUGCACCCUCCGUAUUACCGCGGCUGCUGGCACGGAGUUAGCCGGUGCUUCUUCUGCGAGUAACGUCAAUCGCNAAGGUUAUUAACCUUAACGCCUUCCUCCUCGCUGAAAGUACUUUACAACCCGAAGGCCUUCUUCAUACACGCGGCAUGGCUGCAUCAGGCUUGCGCCCAUUGUGCAAUAUUCCCCACUGCUGCCUCCCGUAGGAGUCUGGACCGUGUCUCAGUUCCAGUGUGGCUGGUCAUCCUCUCAGACCAGCUAGGGAUCGUCGCCUAGGUGAGCCAUUACCCCACCUACUAGCUAAUCCCAUCUGGGCACAUCUGAUGGCAUGAGGCCCGAAGGUCCCCCACUUUGGUCUUGCGACGUUAUGCGGUAUUAGCUACCGUUUCCAGUAGUUAUCCCCCUCCAUCANGCAGUUUCCCAGACAUUACUCACCCGUCCGCCGCUCGUCACCCGAGAGCAAGCUCUCUGUGCUACCGCUCGACUUNAUGUGUUAGGCCUGCCGCCAGCGUUCAAUCUGAGCC
rnacentral:rRNA from 1 species